GGGGGAUAUUGCACAAUGGAGGAAACUCUGAUGCAGCAACGCCGCGUGAGGGAAGACGGUUUUCGGAUUGUAAACCUCUGUCCUCAGGGACGAUAAUGACGGUACCUGAGGAGGAAGCUCCGGCUAACUACGUGCCAGCAGCCGCGGUAAUACGUAGGGAGCAAGCGUUGUCCGGAUUUACUGGGUGUAAAGGGUGCGUAGGCGGCCCUGCAAGUCAGGCGUGAAAGGCGGAGGCUUAACCUCCGAGCUGCGUUUGAAACUGCGGGGCUUGAGUGGAGCAGAGGCAGGCGGAAUUCCCGGUGUAGCGGUGAAAUGCGUAGAGAUCGGGAGGAACACCAGUGGCGAAGGCGGCCUGCUGGGCUUUAACUGACGCUGAAGCACGAAAGCAUGGGUAGCAAAC
rnacentral:rRNA from 1 species